rnacentral:rRNA from 1 species
GACGAACGCUGGCGGCGUGCUUAAUACAUGCAAGUCGAACGGAAAGGCCCUGCUUUUGUGGCUUGCUCGAGUGGCGAACGGGUGAGUAACACGUGAGUAACCUGCCCUUGACUUUGGGAUAACUUCAGGAAACUGGGGCUAAUACCGGAUAGGAGCUCCUGCUGCAUGGUGGGGGUUGGAAAGUUUCGGCGGUUGGGGCUGGACUCGCGGCUUAUGAGCUAGUUGGUCGGGUAGUGGCUGACCAAGGCUUUGACGGGUAGCCGGCACUAGAGCGUGAACAGCGACAUUGGGACUACGAUACGGCCCAGUCUCCUACGGGAGGCAGCAGUCGGGAACCUUGCACAAUGAGCGCACGCCUGAUGCAGCUACGCCCCGUUCGUGAUGACCGCCUUCGGGUUAAAAACCGCUUUCGCCUGUGACGAAGCGUGAGUGACGGUAAUUAGUCAGAAAGCCACGGCUAACUACGUG